UGGGUUUUCAGGUGUAUAUAACCACACUCA
rnacentral:piRNA from 1 species